rnacentral:rRNA from 1 species
GACGAACGCUGGCGGCGUGCUUAACACAUGCAAGUCGAACGGAAAGGCCCUGCUUGCAGGGUACUCGAGUGGCGAACGGGUGAGUAACACGUGGGUGAUCUGCCCUGCACUUCGAGAUAAGCCUGGGAAACUUGGUCUAAUACCGGAUAGGAGCCAUUUUUAGUGUGAUGGUUGGAAAGUUUUUUCGGUGUAGGAUGAGCUCGCGGCCUAUCAGCUUGUUGGUGGGGUAAUGGCCUACCAAGGCGGCGACGGGUAGCCGGCCUGAGAGGGUGGACGGCCACAGUGGGACUGAGAUACGGCCCAGACUCCUACGGGAGGCAGAAGUGGGGAAUAUUGCACAAUGGGAGCAAGCCUGAUGCAGCGACGCCGCGUGGGGGAUGACGGCCUUCGGGUUGUAAACUCCUUUCGCUAGGGACGAAGCUUUUUGUGACGGUACCUAGAUAAGAAGCACCGGCUAACUACGUG